GUUAUUUUGGCAGAAUAGUGUAAUGAAUUUAGAAUUCAUAAAAGUAGGUUUAGUCUACAAAUAAUA
rnacentral:tRNA from 1 species